rnacentral:rRNA from 1 species
GAUGAACGCUAGCGGCAGGCUUAAUACAUGCAAGUCGAGGGACAGCACAGGUAGCAAUACUGGGUGGUAUCCGGCAAACGGGUGCGGAACACGUACACAACCUUCCUUUAAGUGGGGGAUAGCCCAGAGAAAUUUGGAUUAAUACCCCGUAAUAUAGUUGAAUGGCAUCAUUUGAUUAUUAUAGCUACGGCGCUUAAUGAUGGGUGUGCGGCUGAUUAGAUAGUUGGCGGGGCAACGGCCCACCAAGUCUACGAUCAGUAGCCGAUGUGAGAGCAUGAUCAGCCACACGGGCACUGAGACACGGGCCCGACUCCUACGGGAGGCAGCAGUAAGGAAUAUUGGUCAAUGGACGCAAGUCUGAACCAGCCAUGCCGCGUGAAGGAUUAAGGUCCUCUGGAUUGUAAACUUCUUUUAUUUGGGACGAAAAAGGGCCUUUCUAGGUCAACUGACGGUACCAGAUGAGUAAGCACCGGCUAACUCCGUGCCAGCCGCCGCCGUAAAAC